CGCCUUGCCAGCCCGCUCAGAAACUUAAAGGAAUUGACGGGGCCCGCACAAGCGGUGGAGUAUGUGGUUUAAUUCGAUGCAACGCGAAGAACCUUACCUGGUCUUGACAUCCCGGAGACCCUUAGGAAACUAGGGGGUGCUUCCAUCUGGAAGAAUCUGGAGACAGGUGCUGCAUGGCUGUCGUCAGCUCGUGUCGUGAGAUGUUGGGUUAAGUCCCGCAACGAGCGCAACCCUUGCCUUUAGUUGCCAGCAGUUCGGCUGGGCACUCUAAAGGGACUGCCGGUGUUAAACCGGAGGAAGGUGGGGAUGACGUCAAGUCCUCAUGGCCUUUAUGACCAGGGCUACACACGUACUACAAUGGCCGAUACAAAGGGCAGCGACACUGCGAGGUGAAGCCAAUCCCGUAAAAUCGGUCUCAGUCCGGAUUGGAGUCUGCAACUCGACUCCAUGAAGUUGGAAUCGCUAGUAAUCGUGGAUCAGCAUGCCACGGUGAAUACGUUCCCGGGCCUU
rnacentral:rRNA from 1 species